rnacentral:rRNA from 1 species
CGCGUAGGUGGUUUAUUAAGUCGGAUGUGAAAGCCCCGGGCUCAACCUGGGAAUUGCAUCCGAUACUGGUAGGCUAGAGUAUGGUAGAGGGGUGUGGAAUUCCAGGUGUAGCGGUGAAAUGCGUAGAUAUCUGGAGGAACAUCAGUGGCGAAGGCGGCACCCUGGACCAAUACUGACACUGAGGUGCGAAAGCGUGGGUAGCAAACA